GAUGAACGCUAGCGAUAGGCUUAACACAUGCAAGUCGAGGGGCAGCAUGGUCUUAGCUUGCUAAGACUGAUGGCGACCGGCGCACGGGUGCGUAACGCGUAUGCAACUUGCCUCACAGAGGGGGAUAACCCGUCGAAAGACGGACUAAUACCGCGUACACUCCAUCUUGGGCAUCCAAGGUAGAGGAAAUGAAAUUCGCUGUGAGAUAGGCAUGCGUCCCAUUAGCUAGUUGGUGAGGUAACGGCUCACCAAGGCGACGAUGGGUAGGGGAACUGAGAGGUUGAACCCCCACACGGGUACGGAGAAACGGACAAGACUAAGACGGAAGGCAGCAGGGAGGAAAAGUGGACAAGGGGGGAGAGCCUGAACCAGCCAAGUCGGGUGAAGGAUUACUUGCUUUUGGAUUGAAAACUUUUUUUAGAGGGGAAAAAAAAGGGUCACGGGGGACCCCCUGCAUGUACCUAAGGAAUAAGCAGCGGCUAACUCCGU
rnacentral:rRNA from 1 species